rnacentral:rRNA from 1 species
CCUACGGGAGGCAGCAGUGGGGAAUAUUGCACAAUGGGGGAAACCCUGAUGCAGCGACGCCGCGUGAGUGAAGAAGUAUUUCGGUAUGUAAAGCUCUAUCAGCAGGGAAGAAAAUGACGGUACCUGAUUAAGAAGCCCCGGCUAACUACGUGCCAGCAGGCGCGGUAAAACGUAGGGGGCAAGCGUUAUCCGGAUUUACUGGGUGUAAAGGGAGCGUAGACGGCAGCACAAGUCUGGAGUGAAAUGCCGCGGCUUAACCCCGGAACUGCUUUGGAAACUGUGCAGCUAGAGUGCAGGAGAGGUGAGUGGAACUCCUGGUGUAGCGGUGAAAUGCGUAGAUAUUAGGAGGAACACCAGUGGCGAAGGCGGCUUACUGGACUGUAACUGACGUUGAGGCUCGAAAGCGUGGGGAGCAAACAGGAUUAGAUACCCUUGUAGUC